rnacentral:lncRNA from 1 species
GAUUACACCAAUAUACGGCUAUUUUGAUACAUAUUUGUCACCUUUAGAACAUAUAAAAGUAUAUAAUUCACAGCAUCACAUACACGGAAGGGGGAAAAAAUCUUGAUUGAACAAUAGCCCUUUCCAAGCAUAUAGCAACCAUAAACCACACCACAAAAUCAAGUUUAGAGAUAGGCCAUGCUACAUCAACGAGAUAAAACUUCGACGAUUUCAUUUUUCCACAAAGACGACACACAUGUAAUUACACUACAAUAAGGUUUUGCGUCAUAUUAAACAUACAAACAUCACUCAAAUACCACGAUCACUGUCUUCUAAUCAAGUUGGUCGCUUCCCUAUUUCAUUCAAUUUCGGGCUAAUUUUUGACGUCCGAAUGGUCACGUUCAUCAAAAUCUAAAGUUGUUGUUCUUCACUUAGCUGAACCCGAGAUCGGAACAUGUGAGACAUUUCAUCAACUGUUUCGUGCAUAACUCCAUAGUUCCUUCCCGAGCAUUCUACAACGGGAAUGAACCACCAUCGAUAAAUGUGAACUCAAUUGUGUAUGAACUCAAUG